rnacentral:rRNA from 1 species
GAUGAACGCUGGCGGCGUGCCUAAUACAUGCAAGUCGAGCGAACAGACGAGGAGCUUGCUCCUCUGACGUUAGCGGCGGACGGGUGAGUAACACGUGGAUAACCUUCCUAUAAGACUGGGAUAACUUCGGGAAACCGGAGCUAAUACCGGAUAACAUGUUGAACCGCAUGGUUCAACAGUGAAAGACGGUCUUGCUGUCACUUAUAGAUGGAUCCGCGCCGCAUUAGCUAGUUGGUAAGGUAACGGCUUACCAAGGCAACGAUGCGUAGCCGACCUGAGAGGGUGAUCGGCCACACUGGAACUGAGACACGGUCCAGACUCCUACGGGAGGCAGCAGUAGGGAAUCUUCCGCAAUGGGCGAAAUCCUGACGGAGCAACGCCGCGUGAGUGAAGAAGGUCUUCGGAUCGUAAAACUCUGUUAUUAGGGAAGAACAAAUGUGUAAGUAACUAUGCACGUCUUGACGGUACCUAAUCAGAAAGCCACGGCUAACUACGUG